rnacentral:rRNA from 1 species
CCUACGGGUGGCUGCAGUGGGGAAUAUUGCACAGUGGGCGCAAGCCUGAUGCAGCCAUGCCGCGUGUGUGAAGAAGGCCCUCGGGUUGUAAAGCACUUUCAGCGGGGAGGAAGGCGGUGAGGUUAAUAACCUCAUCGAUUGACGCUACCCGCAGAAGAAGCACCGGCUAACUCCGUGCCAGCAGCCGCGGUAAUACGGAGGGUGCAAGCGUUAAUCGGAAUUACUGGGCGUAAAGCGCACGCAGGCGGUCUGUCAAGUCGGAUGUGAAAUCCCCGGGCUCAACUUGGGAACUGCAUUCGAAACUGGCAGGCUAGAGUCUUGUAGAGGGGGGUAGAAUUCCAGGUGUAGCGGUGAAAUGCGUAGAGAUCUGGAGGAAUACCGGUGGCGAAGGCGGCCCCCUGGACAAAGACUGACGCUCAGGUGCGAAAGCGUGGGGAGCAAACAGGAUUAGAUACCCUAGUAGUC